rnacentral:rRNA from 1 species
AUGGCACACCUCCAUGAAGCGUCUGAUUCAGUUUUCCCUUCUACUCGGCCAAACACGUAUUCCCAUGAGGUUAUAGAAUGUGCAAUUCAAAUUUGGUCCACGCUCAUUCUCAGUGAUCAUGUUGUGCAUGAUCACACAAGCAGUCAUUAUAUACCAAAGGUUCCCCUGAUCCCAAAAUCUAGCCGGUCCUCGCACAAUAGCAAAUUGAGAUUGCAAAAUCCCAAAAGCCCUCUACACAUCUUUUCUAGCCGCCGCUUGAGCAUUCUGAAAAUAAAGUUCUUUCUUACCUUGGGGGCUUGA